AAUAGAUACCCCGGUAGUCCACGCCGUAAACGAUGUCGACUUGGAGGUUGUGCCCUUGAGGCGUGGCUUCCGGAGCUAACGCGUUAAGUCGACCGCCUGGGGAGUACGGCCGCAAGGUUAAAACUCAAAUGAAUUGACGGGGGCCCGCACAAGCGGUGGAGCAUGUGGUUUAAUUCGAUGCAACGCGAAGAACCUUACCUACUCCUGACAUCCAGAGAACUUAGCAGAGAUGCUUUGGUGCCUUCGGGAACUCUGAGACAGGUGCUGCAUGGCUGUCGUCAGCUCGUGUUGUGAAAUGUUGGGUUAAGUCCCGCAACGAGCGCAACCCUUAUCCUUUGUUGCCAGCGGUUAGGCCGGGAACUCAAAGGAGACUGCCAGUGAUAAACUGGAGGAAGGUGGGGAUGACGUCAAGUCAUCAUGGCCCUUACGAGUAGGGCUACACACGUGCUACAAUGGCAUAUACAAAGAGAAGCGACCUCGCGAGAGCAAGCGGACCUCAUAAAGUAUGUCGUAGUCCGGA
rnacentral:rRNA from 1 species